UGGCUCUGGCAUCGAUGAAGAACGCAGCGAAAUGCGAUAAGUAAUGUGAAUUGCAGAAUUCAGUGAAUCAUCGAAUCUUUGAACGCACAUUGCGCCCCUUGGUAUUCCGAGGGGCAUGCCUGUUCGAGCGUCAUUAAACCCCUCAAGCUUCGCUUGGUGUUGGGGCCCGCGGUCUCGCGGCCCUUAAAAUCAGUGGCGGUGCCGUCUGGCUCUCAGCGUAGUAAUGCUCUCGCUACAGAGUCCGGCUGCAAUAGCCAGAACCUCUUAUUUUCUAAGUUUGACCUCGGAUCAGGUAGGGAUACCCGCUGA
rnacentral:misc_RNA from 1 species